AAUCACUGUGGCCUGGAGGAUGGGACACCAUGAUUUGCAAGACUCUGGUCACAUGCCCACACCUGUGGCUUCUGAAGCAGAGCACCAGCAGUGACAGUCCCACCAGAACCGCAUGGAAUAGAAAACUGUGCAUUUCCCUAAGGAAAGGGAAUGCCAGAGAAGGGCAGAAGGGAAAUCAGGAAGACAAAACGGUAAAUUACCUACCACAAAUCCAAUUCAUUGGUAUUUUUCCACUUACACUUAACCAAGCAACGAUUUCUCCUGGUCCCAUAAUGGAAAAGAGGGUUUAUCUAGAUUCAUAUAUACAAGACUGAAGAGUGAAGAGAGACCCAGAGAAUGUUCUAAAAUCUGCCAGUUAGCAUAAUCACACAGAGAAAUCUCUGCUUCCAGAGGAGGAGCCAAGUUCAAGUCAGAGUGUCUUCAUGUUGGAGUGGACCUUUCCUCUAUCUGUCAACAGAAUGGAUAAAUUGUGGAAGAGUAAUAUCAGAAUACUACACAUCAGUAAAAAACAACAAACUUCUGCUACAAACAAUCAACAUCGAUGAAUCUUUCAGGCAAAAGGGUUAAUGCCUACAAUAAGUGUUCUUGAAAUACAGUCACGCGUUGCUUAACCAUGGGGAUAUAUUCUGAUAAAUUCAUCAUUAGGCGAUUUCAUCACUGGGCGAACAUCACAGCUCGUACUCACACAAACCUAGAUGUCAUAGCCUACUACACACCUAGGCUAUAUGAUAUAGGCUAUUGCUAGCAACAAACCUGUACAGCAUGUUACUGUCUUGAAUACUUAGGCAGCAGAGCACAAUGUUAUAGAAACAGAUGAUCAGUGGCCCACGGAUUCCAGGUGAGGAUCUGGGACCCAGACAUCCAGAUAUUGAAAACACAGGGAUGGAGUCUGUAUGGAAAAAAUUAAAAUAUAGCAAAAUGUGAAAUACGGAAGAGAAAUCUUUCAAUUUCCCAAUGGAAGUGAGAAAAGAGCAAAGAAAAGUAUUGGUCUUCCAAAACAAAUAGAGGACGGAGCUGCUGCUGUUGCAUGGUGUCUAGAAACUCAGACAACUUCAUCAUUCCAUAUUUGCAUCCAAGAGAGAGAAAGAAAAACUACAAUCAUUUUCCAUUUACCCAUCAACCCAUCAACCUCCAAAUAAAGGCUAUUAAAAAACAAUCAAAGUGUGAAGAGGGCAGAAAAUGUGAUGAAGAGAUUCUUUGGAGAAAGUAGCUGCCACUGUUACCUUGGGAUCUGCCUAUAGUCCUCACAGAGCUUGAGACAGGGUCUCACUAUGUUGCCCCAGUUGGCCUUGAACUGCUGGACUCAAGGGAUCCUCCUGCCUCAGCAUCCUGAGUAGCUGGGUCUACAGGCAUGAACCACCAGGCCCAGAACCCUGUCUUUUGAAAGCCAUAUGCGAUCUGUCUGCCCUGAAGUGACUACUUCAUCUCCAACCAGCCCUUGGCUGGCAAAGUCAGGAAGACUCCAGUCUUUCCUGAAGACCAGGGGAGAGUUUAUAACUCUAGCAUCAAAGUCAGCAGCUGUUCAUCUAGAAGACAACUUCCCAAAAGUCAAUGUCUUUGCCUGAAGCUUUUCUUCCCAGAUCUCCUAUGGUGAAACAACCAAAGGGAAGAAGAAUGUGGGCAGCCCUCAGUAAGACAGGAGAUGAGCAUCAACAUUGACCCAUUCUUUCUUCCAGUCCUCGAUGCUUACCUUGUACAUUCUUCUUUGUCUUCCGACUCAGUGCCUUUAGGGUAUGGACGUUGCCUGGUCCCACACAAGCCAAGCAUCAAAUGGAUGGCUCAACAAGGAGGCCAAGACCAGCUAAUGUUUAGUGAGCACCCAAAGGGGCCACACUGGAGAGAACAGCACAGCUCCGUCUGAGAAACAGCUGUUCCUUCCUGCCUGAGAGGCAGAGUGAUAGAAGAUAUCACAGAAUGUUGCUGCUUUGUCUUCCACCCUGAACCCUCCACGACCUCCCUGUAGCUUCCUGAUUUUAAGUAGACAUCAAAUGAUUCUUAAUCCUUUCUGGGUCUUGGAACGAUUUGAAAAUUGUCAACAGUACUGGGAUUCCCAGAAUAAUGCACAUAUGUACAUACUCAGAUAUUCCCCAAGCCCUGGAUAUAAUUUUAAGGGAGUUCACAGACCACACUCCCCCACCCAUCUGUGGACCCAGAUUCUGUGGGUUCGAGAUUCAGAAGCCCUGUUUCUAGGCAGGCCCUCUGUUGCUAACGCCCCUCGAGAACAUCACCCUAGAUGAUUAUCCCUUCUUCCUCCACUCCUUCCCACCUUCUCCAACUGCUGGGUUUCAGCACAAAGAUUGCUUGCCAGUUAAACUGGCACCAUGGACCGCACAGUAGUUGUUUCUUGGGUCUAGAGGAAACAGCCAGAUUCCUUUAAGUAAAUCAUGUCUUAGUUAUUGAUUGUCUCCACUUGAAGUUUUUGACAAUCUCUGAUUAAAUCAUAAACCACUGCA
ensembl:lncRNA LINC02290 long intergenic non-protein coding RNA 2290